rnacentral:rRNA from 1 species
CCCCUAGAUGUUCUGGGCCGCACGCGCGCAACACUGAACAGUUCAACAAGUCUUAACCUUGGCCGAUAGGUCUGGGUAAUCUUUGAACGCUGUUCGUGAUUGGGAUAGACCUUUGCAAUUAUGGGUCUUCAACGAGGAAUUCCUAGUAAACGCAAGUCAUCAGCUUGCAUUGAUUACGUCCCUGCCCUUUGUACACACCGCCCGUCGCACCUACCGAUUGAAUGGUCCGGUGAAAUCUCGGGACGGCGGCUUGGUCGCUUGCGUCCGACUGCUGAAACUUGAUUAAACCAUAUCAUUUAGAGGAAGGUGAAGUCGUAACA